UCCGCCGCGCCGCCCCGCCCCGCUCGGCCCGGCGUGGGCAGGGCGUCCAGAGCGGGUGUCUGCCGGAGGGGCGGCGGACCCUCGGUCCACAGGGAAAAGGAGGGGGCUGUGAAGACUGGAGAAGGCACGAGGGUCCCCGCCCCCCAACCCUGGGCACCCCUUCUGGAUGCGGAGCCCCUGCUGCCUUAGUCCCAAUUCCUGCCUGGUCCACGGUGGGAGUGGGCGCUCCUCUGUUGUUUUCCUUGUCUUCUCACUACCUCCCUCCACCCGGGCCCCCCUCAGGCCUUGCGCCCGAAUUUGGACCUAGAGACAGGAUCCGAGAGGAACAGGCUGUGUUUCAGCUGGCGGGCUGUGCAGACCCGCCAGCGCGUCGGAAAGCUCCAAGUCUGGGCCCUGGCUCCUGAGCACCCUUCAGGGUCUGGACAGGACUCAUGCCUGUUUGUGCGUCAGAACACUGUUAGGCCUGAGAAGCCAAGAAAGAAGUAGAGGCCCCAGGAAGGGAAAGGAGGAAACUCCCGGCAGAGGAGCUGUCAGGAACGUCAGCGCAGCAGGCCGGGCUCCACGGGCUCCGCUUGGGUGAUUUCUGAGCUGCGGGACCCUUCUUUAAGGGAUCAUCAGGUGAAAAACAUGUACAGCUUGGAAAGAUGGGCAUCCCAGGUGCUCUGUGAAACGGCGGGAGUGCAAGCGGAAAAACAAGAUCGUGUCGGGUGGGUCCUGAGGCCCAGGUACUGGAGGAGACACAUCUCCCUGUGUCCGGCCACUGAAUGUCCCAGGUCUGGACACCCCUGAAGUGCUCUGUGACCUCCAACAGGGUAUGUACCUCCCGGCAGUAACCAGUCUUGAGUCGAACCCUGACGUGGGAGCUCUGUGUUGGUUAACUCAGAAUCAUCCUCACUCCGUCGGUGGUUCGGUUUUCAUGCCCCUACAGGGGGGGUGGGGGAGGGGUGUGCAGGGUCAGGCACAGGUGGGAGCUGUGGCACAGCAUUCCGCCCAGGCCCUGCGCCCCCACCUGUGUAGCAUUCCCCGAACUUGUCUGACGGAGGAAGCCCUUUACGCAGCACACAGCAUCUUACAGGAACUCGCGUUUUCAGGAAGAUGGUUUCAGCAGCGCUGCAGUGACUGAUGCGAGCCCAGCAGAGAGCAUUGGUUUAUCAGACUUGCUGUGAAUGGAGCGGUGAGCAUACAUUGAGAGGAGGGGAAAAUGUGAUCUAAAACACAAGGCAGUAGAUUUCAAAGGAUAGUCUGCAGCCUUGUCACUCGGAGUGUGGUCCCCAGACCAGCAGCAUCGACACCCCUAAGGAGCUUGUUAAAAAUGCAGAGCCUCAGAGCACACCCCACGCCUACCUUACGUGCGGGCACCUGCAUCUUGACCGACUCCCCCUUCGCUCCACCUCUGUCCUCGGGGCAUCUGCUUCAGAAUCCUAGGGAGGCUCCUGAACGAUGCAGAGUCCUGGGUUCUGCCUGAGGCCUGCUGACGUGGAGCUUGGAGAAUGGGGCCUGGGACCUGGCCUUGUAACAAUGUCUUGGGGUGACGUUCACGCACACUAGCGUUUGAGAACCACUGGCCUGUCCCACAGGCAACAAGCAGCUCCUGGGAGCCUCCUAAAAAUGCUACUUCCUGGGCCGCCCCUGGAUCUACUGAGUCUGGGCGUCUAGGGGCCGAGCCUGGGAAUCAGCACGAGGAUGAUGGUGAAACGGACACAGCUGCCCUGAGGCGGGACUCCAGCCAGCUCUGCUCUGCCCAGCAUCCUGGGGCUAUGCCCACUGGGAGGAGGAGCUGUGAUCUCCGCCCCUGGAUCAAGAGCCCUAGAGAAAAGUGUGCUUUUGUUUCUAGGAGAGAUUAAGAAAAUGCAUUUGGGAGGGUAGCCUAUGAGUGGCUGUUUGCUCUCGACACCUGUAAACUGUUGACUGUAAUUGGACCACAGAUGUUCCCUGAGCCUGAUAGCUUUCUCUCCUCCGGCCGUGGAGGGGAGUCUGGGGAGGGGUUCUUCUCUAGAAGGAAAUCGAAUGAUUGUAUUGGGGCUGCAUUUCCUUGCCUUCCUCUGAUUUAAUCUGUUUUUCUACAUUUAUCAUUAUUAUUUUCGACACUUCAGUGUUAGACAAAAAGCUGUUUUGUAAAAAACCAGGGGGAUGUUAGCAAAAGGUGUGUUCAUAGAAUCAAACAGAAUCUUUGUGGGCAAAUGAAGGUAUUCAAAGUCCUGCAGAAAUGCAUGAAAUCCUCUUGAGCCCCCCAGCUCAAGGAGACCUCCCAGCGUGGAACAGAGAAGAGCAAUCUCACAGGAGAAAGCAGGAGAGAGCAUCUCUCAAGUCCAUCCCCUCCCCUCCAGCUACCCAUCGGAGCCCCGUCAUCUCUCACCUGGAUCCCUGCGCAGCCUCACUCCUCUCCCUGCAAACCUGGCCCCACGGGGACCACUGAAACUUGCAUCAGAGAACAUCACGUGAUGCCCUGCUUCAAGCCCUCAGGCUGGACCCUCUCGGAACCUCGAUGCUCUCUCUAUGGCCCACAGGUCCUGUGCCAUCUGGCCCCUCCGCCCCCUCCCCCUCGCUCUGCCCUUGCUAUCUGGAGCAUUCUGCCCCAGGUCUAGGCAAGGCCGACUGCUGCUCAGAGAUGCCCUGCAGGGCCCCCAGCAAGGCUGCUCGCCCACCUCUCCUCAGCCAGGACCUUUCACACCUAUCACAUCCCUCUGGUUCUGUCUGUCUGAUGUCUGCAGUACAACAGGGGCCUCUCUGCCCGGCCCCCUGCCCUCUCCCCAGCUCCCGGAUGGUGCCGGCCCAGGCUCAGCAAACAUCUGAAUAAAUGAAUGUCUGAGUGGAUGACUGGGAAAGCUGGGAGAGAAGGUGCAGUCUCCUGGGACUUAACCUUGGGGGAGUGGGGAGGGGUCGGUGAUGCCACGCUGCCUGAACUCCUGCCCCACGCCUGGGAAGAAGGAAUACCGGUGGUUUUUCUUCUUUCUUCUGUGAACUCUGGGGCAGAAUGAGAGCCAGGGCCGGGGGGAGGGUGGUUCAGCUGAAUGUGGCAACGACAAGGGGUUAGGAAGACAUCAGGGGGGAGUGGAAGGAGGAUGAUAAAAUGCAUGUUGGGGAAGAGGAACCGAUUAAACAGUCAACUAGAUAAUAUUAGAUUUAGAGGGAGGGAGAAAAUGGAGAUGUUGGAAAUAUGAGUAGACUGAGUGGCAAUAAAACAGGAGAGAGACCAAGAAAAUGGGGAAAAAGUAGAAAUGGACUUUCUGAGUUAAAGCAUCCGCCUGGGACUGGAGACUGCGCAGCCAGGACGCCCCUUUGGCUCAGCCGCUCAGGCAUCCCGGAGGAAUCGGGUUUCACCCGUAGGCUCACUGGUUGGAUGCUUUCAAAUUCCAUUUAACCCGGUUUGAUCAUCGAAUUUUGGGGGAUUGCUGCCGGUCACCUCCAGAGCACAAGCCCCUGCCGGCUGGACUCCUUGGGGGUGGGGCAGGGUUCCCCGCCCAGCCCCAGUCUGCUCAAGUGCAGCCAAGACAAGUGUCCUGUCCUCAAGAAGCAAGCCCUCCGUUCACCUUCACGAGCUGGGGCCCCACUUUGCUUUCUGGGUCUGUGGUUGAAGCUUCACGGAGAAGAAGCUGCAGAGGCAGACGGACGAAGCCGCCUGCUCAAGGACACGACCCCCCUGGGAGCCGCUUCUUUGGGAGAAGGCAGGGCCCUCACACUUCAGUUGAGCAACAGGGUCACCUGACAAGCAUUUUAAAAACAUGAGUGCUUGGACCUCAGACCAGCCCCGUAGGGUCACGUCCAGCAACUCUGUUCUUGACGUUCCCCAGAUGAAGUUAAAUGCACACCGGUGGUUGGGCAUUAAACCCCUUCUGAGUGUUUCUAUCUCAAUGCCUUAGUGUGACUUAAUUUUUGAUCUUUUUCUAGUAAAGGGGCUUCCAUGGGUUGGGAAAGUGAACACUUGAUUGAUGGAAGGAAAGGUGGCAGGGGCUCCAGAGGUGACUGAUUUCACCU
rnacentral:lncRNA from 1 species